AUUGAACGCUGGCGGCAGGCUUAACACAUGCAAGUCGAGCGGGGUGAUGGUGCUUGCACUAUCACUUAGCGGCGGACGGGUGAGUAAUGCUUAGGAAUCUGCCUAUUAGUGGGGGACAACAUCUCGAAAGGGAUGCUAAUACCGCAUACGUCCUACGGGAGAAAGCAGGGGAUCACUUGUGACCUUGCGCUAAUAGAUGAGCCUAAGUCGGAUUAGCUAGUUGGUGGGGUAAAGGCCUACCAAGGCGACGAUCUGUAGCGGGUCUGAGAGGAUGAGCCGCCACACUGGGACUGAGACACGGGCCAGACUCCUACGGUAGGCAGCAGUGGGGAAUAGUGGACAAUGGGGGGAACCCUGAUCCAGCCAUGCCGCGUGUGUGAAGAAGGCCUUAUGGUUGUAAAGCACUUUAAGCGAGGAGGAGGCUCUUUUGGUUAAUACCCAAGAUGAGUGGACGUUACUCGCAGAGUAAGCACCGGCUAACUCUGUGCCAGCAGCCGCCGUAA
rnacentral:rRNA from 1 species